GCUUCCAAAGGAUAACAGCCCAUCCGCUGGUCUUAGGAACCAGAAACUCGUGGUGCAAAUCCAAGUGAAAGCU
rnacentral:tRNA from 1 species